GAUGAACGCUGGCGGCGUGCUUAACACAUGCAAGUCGAGCGAGAAGUUUUGAAAAGAUUCUUCGGAUGAAAUUUAAAAUGGAAAGCGGCGGACGGGUGAGUAACGCGUAGGCAACCUGCCCCAUACAAAGGGAUAGCAUUUGGAAACGAAUAUUAAUACCUUAUGAAACUUAACUAGUGCAUGCUAGGUAGGUCAAAGAUUUAUCGGUAUGGGAUGAGCCUGCGUCUGAUUAGCUAGUUGGUGAGGUAACGGCUCACCAAGGCGACGAUCAGUAGCCGACCUGAGAGGGUGAACGGCCACAUUGGAACUGAGACACGGUCCAAACUCCUACGGGAGGCAGCAGUGGGGAAUAUUGCACAAUGGGGGAAACCCUGAUGCAGCAACGCCGCGUGAACGAUGAAGGCCUUUGGGUCGUAAAGUUCUGUUCUAGGUGAUGAAAACUGACAGUAACCUAGGAGAAAGCCCCGGCUAACUCCGUG
rnacentral:rRNA from 1 species